GGUGAUMKGUUUUGUAUCGGCACGUCGGAUCCCUGCCCKKGCAGCGACGACGUCUCGAGCAAGCCCCUUCAGUUGUUGGCUCAAGCGCGCCACGCCUUGGCCGACGUCGGUUUCCUGUGCUGAAUUCCUAACGGAUGGCAAUCCUUCGUUCACGAACGUCCCGCACUCCUCCUUUCGUCGCGGCUCCUCAAGGAGACGCGGCGCGGGGAGGACAUCAAAGCCCCCGUCGUGUCUCGCAACCCACGCAGCCCCGCUCGCACGGGCGCGCUAGGGCUGUCGACCCACGACGUCGUGCUCGAUCUCUCGGAUGCGGAAAACCAAGCGGCUACGAGGCCACGGCCUCCACUGCCCCUUAGAAGAGCGUCACACGCUCCCUGCGGACGACUGUCGGCCGGGUCUCGCCCCGGGGCCCCAGCGGCUCCCGGAUCAUGCCCGGCGGGCGUCGACGAGGAAUGCUACCUGGUUGAUCC
rnacentral:misc_RNA from 1 species